CCUACGGGGGGCUGCAGUGGGGAAUCUUGCGCAAUGCGCGAAAGCGUGACGCAGCAACGCCGCGUGCGGGAAGACGGCCUUCGGGUUGUAAACCGCUUUCAGUUGGGACGAAGCUUCGCCGGUGAAUAGCCGGCCGGAGUGACGGUACCUUCAGAAGAAGCCCCGGCUAACUACGUGCCAGCAGCCGCGGUAAUACGUAGGGGGCGAGCGUUGUCCGGAAUCAUUGGGCGUAAAGCGCGUGUAGGCGGCCCGGUAAGUCCGCUGUGAAAGUCCAGGGCUCAACCCUGGGAUGCCGGUGGAUACUGUCGGGCUCGAGUCCGGAAGAGGCGAGUGGAAUUCCUGGUGUAGCGGUGAAAUGCGCAGAUAUCAGGAGGAACACCAAUGGCGAAGGCAGCUCGCUGGGACGUGACUGACGCUGAGACGCGAAAGCGUGGGGAGCAAACAGGAUUAGAUACCCUAGUAGUC
rnacentral:rRNA from 1 species